UACGAAGGGUGCAAGCGUUAUUCGGAUUUAUUGGGUGUAAAGGGUGCGUAGACGGCAUGUUAAGUCCGCUGUUAAAUUUCCCAGCUUAACUGGGAGCCAGCGGUGGAUACUGAUGUGCUAGAGGAUGGAAGAGAGAAGUGGAAUUCCCGGAGUAGCGGUAAAAUGCGUAGAUCUCGGGAGGAACACCAAUGGCGAAGGCAGCUUCUUGGUCCAUAUCUGACGUUGAGGCACGAAAGCGUGGGGAGCAAACAGG
rnacentral:rRNA from 1 species